rnacentral:piRNA from 1 species
UCACUGGGUACAAGAGCUUGCAACC